CCUACGGGAGACAGCAGUGGGGAAUAUUGCACAAUGGGGGAAACCCUGAUGCAGCGACGCCGCGUGAGUGAAGAAGUAUUUCGGUAUGUAAAGCUCUAUCAGCAGGGAAGAAAAUGACGGUACCUGACUAAGAAGCCACGGCGAACUACGUGCCAGCAGCCGCGGUAAUACGUAGGGGGCAAGCGUUAUCCGGAUUUACUGGGUGUAAAGGGAGCGUAGGCGGGCAGACAAGCCAGAAGGGAAAGCCCAGGGCCCAACCCGGGGACUGCUAUUGAAACUGCCGGGCUGGAGUGCAGGUGGGGUAAGCGGAAUGUCUAGUGUAGCGGUGAAAUGCAUAGAUAUUAGGAGGAACACCAGUGGCGAAGGCGGCUUACUGGACUGUAAUUGACGUUGAGGCUCGAAAGCGUGGGGAGCAAACAGGAUUAGAUACCCCAGUAGUC
rnacentral:rRNA from 1 species